GCCGUAGGGAAACCGAGUCUUAACCGGGCGUUAAGUUGCAGGGUAUAGACCCGAAACCCGGUGAUCUAGCCAUGGGCAGGUUGAAGGUUGGGUAACACUAACUGGAGGACCGAACCGACUAAUGUUGAAAAAUUAGCGGAUGACCUGUGGCUGGGGGUGAAAGGCCAAUCAAACCGGGAGAUAGCUGGUUCUCCCCGAAAGCUAUUUAGGUAGCGCCUCGUGAAUUCAUCUCCGGGGGUAGAGCACUGUUUCGGCUAGGGGGCCAUCCCGGCUUACCAACCCGAUGCAAACUGCGAAUACCGGAGAAUGUUAUCACGGGAGACACACGGCGGGUGCUAACGUCCGUCGUGAAGAGGGAAACAACCCAGACCGCCAGCUAAGGUCCCAAAGUCAUGGUUAAGUGGGAAACGAUGUGGGAAGGCCCAGACAGCCAGGAUGUUGGCUUAGAAGCAGCCAUCAUUUAAAGAAAGCGUAAUAGCUCACUGGUCGAGUCGGCCUGCGCGGAAGAUGUAACGGGGCUAAACCAUGCACCGAAGCUGCGGCAGCGAACGUAUCACUUAAAGCGAUUCAGCGGGUUACGAUUGACGGAGCGAAGCGACGUCA
rnacentral:rRNA from 1 species